rnacentral:rRNA from 1 species
GACGAACGCUGGCGGCGUGCUUAACACAUGCAAGUCGAACGGAAAGGCCCUGCUUUUGUGGGGUGCUCGAGUGGCGAACGGGUGAGCAACACGUGAGUAACCUGCCCUUGACUUUGGGAUAACUUCAGGAAACUGGGGCUAAUACCGGAUAGGAGCUCCUGCUGCAUGGUGGGGGUUGGAAAGUUUCGGCGGUUGGGGAUGGACUCGCGGCUUAUCGGCUUGUUGGUGGGGUAGUGGCUUACCAAGGCUUUGACGGGUAGCCGGCCUGAGAGGGUGACCGGCCACAUUGGGACUGAGAUACGGCCCAGACUCCUACGGGAGGCAGCAGUGGGGAAUAUUGCACAAUGGGCGGAAGCCUGAUGCAGCAACGCCGCGUGCGGGAUGACGGCCUUCGGGUUGUAAACCGCUUUCGCCUGUGACGAAGCGUGAGUGACGGUAAUGGGUAAAGAAGCACCGGCUAACUACGUG